ACUGACUGUUAAGGUCCCUUCUUGUUGUAAACCUUGAUCUUAUAAUCCUAGCUACUGACUAAAUUAGAUAAGUAAUUUAACUUCUCAGGACCAGUUUUCUUCAAAUGUUAAAUGGGGCAUUGGCCUAGCUAGUUGCUAAGGACACAUAAGACUCUCAACUUUAUGAUCUUCUGUACUUCUGACUUAUGCAAAGUAUGUGACUUAAGACAGACUCCCUAGAAUGAGCUGCAUAGUCAAGGCAAUCAUCCAGAAAAUUCAGGCACAAAUUCAUAUUAAAUGGUCUUUUAAAUCUGAAUUAUCCAGUUUGGUUAGAUAAAUGAUUACUCAAUGGAUAAUUGCUUAACUCCCCACUGAGGCUGCUUGCUUGUAUAGACAACCCUUGGGAUAAUGGACUUACUCUUUUCUCCAAUGGUCAACCUUUCUCUGAUGUGUCUUAUUUUUGAUAAUGUUCUUAUCUUGGAAGCUGCCAGGAAAACUUCAGGAAGGAACUUGGUUCCACCCAAGCAGCUGUGAGCAGGUCUUCAAGAAUUCCAGCCUUCAGAAUGCUGUCGCAGUAAUGAACUGCUCUUAGGGAAGAAAGAAAACAUACAGUGUCAGUCAUGACUGGUGACAGGAUGCAAUUAACCCAGGAUCAAAUUGCAGAGAGAUGGAUGGGACCAGAUGGUCCUGUUAUCCUAACAAAGGGAUUAUACAAUGAUGCCAGGAGCUGACUCUACAGAGAAUCAGAAGUUGAAGAAGUCUUAAACAUGAUGAGCUUUCACAUGGAGACUCAGAGAUAAUGACCAAAGCGAAGAAAGAUGAUGAAAAAUGCAAAGAAUUGUACAGUUCUAAGAUCAUUAGAAUUGCCCAGAAUUCAACGGUCAUGGAAAAAUUAAGUUCAUAAGUAGUGUAAGUAGAUGGAUGAUUGGAUUUGGACAUAAAAGACCUGAGUUUAAAACCUGCCUUUUAUACUUAGAAGCUGUGUGACCUUCGGGAAGAUGCUUAAUUCUCUGAGCCUCAGUUUCUUCAUAUGUGAAAUAAAGAAGUUGGACUCAAUGGCUUUUAAGGUCGUUCUUUUUAAAUCCCAUGAGUUGCAAUGUGUAUCAGUAUGCUUAAUACAGUCCCUGACACAUAAUAAGUACUUAAUAAAUUGUUAUCGACUUACUGGAAGGAAUCCCUACAGUGAAAAAUUCAUGUCUAUACACAAUAAACAAAUGCACAAAUGUAACUUUAUGAUAUACAAGUAUACAUACAUAUAUACAUGUGUAUAGAUAGCUAAGCCAUAUAUAUGAUCGUGAAUACUGAAAACUUAUUUUUUUUUUAUACUCAAAACUUAUAAUAGUAACAUAGAUAUUUCCAUUUUUAAUUAAGGGAAUUGUCUGUGUAGAUAAUGCCCAUAUAUAUCCAGAUCCUAUCUCUCCUCUGAGGCUCAAUUAUUAAUCACCCAUUGUCUGGGAAUUUUAAACUGCAUAUUCUAGAGACCCCUCAAACUCAAUGUCCAAAACUCUAAACAUCUCUCCCACUAAAUAUUCACUUUUAAAAACUUUCCUGUGACUGUCAAAGGCAUUACAAUCCUUUCAGUCUGUCAUAUCUGUAACCAUGAACAUUAACCUCAACUUAUCACUCACACUACAUAUCUAGUCAGUUAUCAAAUCUUGCUGUUUCUAAUUUCACAAUAUCUCUGGCAGCCAACCCCUUCUCUCUUCUCACAUAGAUGGACCUUAGUUAAAAUUCUUAAUAGUUCUUACCUUGAUUGUUGCAAGAACCUCCUAAAUGGUCUUCCUGCCUCAAUAUUCUCUUCCCUCAAGUAUAUCCUACAUCUCACUGCAAAAGUCAUUUCUUUAAAUACAGAUCUGAUCAUGUGACUCCCCUACUUAAUCAAUUCUAGUAGUUUCCUAUUAUUUCAGGGAUAAACGAACAUUUAAAAACCUACACAUUUUGGAGUAGAUGCCCAUCAAUUAGGGAAUAGCUAAAUAAGUUACAGUAUAUGAAAGCAAUGGAAUAUUAUUGUUCUAUUAAAAAUAGAGACCCAGUUGAUUUUAGAAAGUCCUAGAAAGAUUAACAUCAACUGAUGUUGAGGAAAACAAGCAGAUCAACUAUGAAAGACGUGGUUCUUCUCAGCAGUUCAGCGAUGGAAUAUGCUAUCUGCGUCCAGAGAGAGAACUAUGAAAAUUGAAUGUAUA